rnacentral:lncRNA from 1 species
UUGCGACUUUAGGUUUCAAGUGGGGUGCUAUGGUCUCACCAAUUUACAUGCCACCUCACCUAACAGUUAUUGGUGACACAUAAACGAUGAGUGUACAACUCUUGUACAAUGCUUCUCAAGCAAGUUGUAGCGCUAUCCGGUCUCUAAGUAAUGAAGACCUCACCUAACAGUUAUUGGCCCCAUUCCUUAGUUAAGUCGGACCCACCGUAUAACC